rnacentral:snRNA from 1 species
GAAGUCGGGGGUUACAAA